rnacentral:rRNA from 1 species
UUCGCCAUAUCUCCCUGUAGCUCUCACUUGGUUUCCCACUGAAGCUAAGCAGGGUUGAACCUGGCCAGUACCUGGAUGGGAGACCUCCUGGGAGGAAAACUAAGGUUGCUGCUGGAA